rnacentral:rRNA from 1 species
ACUCCUACGGGAGGCAGCAGUGGGGAAUAUUGCACAAUGGGCGCAAGCCUGAUGCAGCCAUGCCGCGUGUAUGAAGAAGGCCUUCGGGUUGUAAAGUACUUUCAGCAGUGAGGAAGGUGGGUAUGUUAAUAGCAUACUCAUUUGACGUUAGCUGCAGAAGAAGCACCGGCUAACUCCGUGCCAGCAGCCGCGGUAAUACGGAGGGUGCGAGCGUUAAUCGGAAUUACUGGGCGUAAAGCGCAUGCAGGUGGUUUGUUAAGUCAGAUGUGAAAGCCCGGGGCUCAACCUCGGAAUUGCAUUUGAAACUGGCAAACUAGAGUACUGUAGAGGGGGGUAGAAUUUCGGGUGUAGCGGUGAAAUGCGUAGAGAUCUGAAGGAAUACCGGUGGCGAAGGCGGCCCCCUGGACAGAUACUGACACUCAGAUGCGAAAGCGUGGGGAGCAAACAGGAUUAGAUACCCUGGUAGACGUAG